GGUUAAGCGACUAAGCGUACACGGUGGAUGCCCUGGCAGUCAGAGGCGAUGAAGGACGUGCUAAUCUGCGAAAAGCGUCGGUAAGGUGAUAUGAACCGUUACAGCCGGCGAUGUCCGAAUGGGGAAACCCAGUGCAAUUCGUUGCACUAUCGUUAACUGAAUACAUAGGUUAACGAGGCGAACCGGGGGAACUGAAACAUCUAAGUACCCCGAGGAAAAGAAAUCAACCGAGAUUCCCCCAGUAGCGGCGAGCGAACGGGGAGCAGCCCAGAGUCUGAAUCAGCUUGUGUGUUAGUGGAACGGUCUGGAAAGUCCGACGGUACAGGGUGAUAGUCCCGUACACCAAAAUGCACAGGUUGUGAACUCGAAGAGUAGGGCGGGACACGUGGUAUCCUGUCUGAAUAUGGGGGGACCAUCCUCCAAGGCUAAAUACUCCUGACUGACCGAUAGUGAACCAGUACCGUGAGGGAAAGGCGAAAAGAACCCCGGCGAGGGGAGUGAAAAAGAACCUGAAACCGUGUACGUACAAGCAGUGGGAGCACCUUCGGGUGUGACUGCGUACCUUUUGUAUAAUGGGUCAGCGACUUAUAUUCUGUAGCAAGGUUAACCGUAUAGGGGAGCCGCAGGGAAACCGAGUCUUAACUGGGCGUUAAGUUGCAGGGUAUAGACCCGAAACCCGGUGAUCUAGCCAUG
rnacentral:rRNA from 1 species